rnacentral:rRNA from 1 species
GAGUUUGAUCCUGGCUCAGGACGAACGCUGGCGGCGUGCUUAACACAUGCAAGUCGAGCGAUGAAGCUCCUUCGGGAGUGAAUUAGCGGCGGACGGGUGAGUAACACGUGGGUAACCUGCCUCAUAGAGGGGAAUAGCCUUUCGAAAGGAAGAUUAAUACCGCAUAAGAUUGUAGUACCGCAUGGUACAGCAAUUAAAGGAGUAAUCCGCUAUGAGAUGGACCCGCGUCGCAUUAGCUAGUUGGUGAGGUAACGGCUCACCAAGGCGACGAUGCGUAGCCGACCUGAGAGGGUGAUCGGCCACAUUGGGACUGAGACACGGCCCAGACUCCUACGGGAGGCAGCAGUGGGGAAUAUUGCACAAUGGGGGAAACCCUGAUGCAGCAACGCCGCGUGAGUGAUGACGGCCUUCGGGUUGUAAAACUCUGUCUUUGGGGACGAUAAUGACGGUACCCAAGGAGGAAGCCACGGCUAACUACGUGCCAGCAGCCGCGGUAAUACGUAGGUGGCAAGCGUUGUCCGGAUUU